rnacentral:rRNA from 1 species
UACGUAGGGUGCAAGCGUUAAUCGGAAUUACUGGGCGUAAAGCGUGCGCAGGCGGCCAUGCAAGACAGACGUGAAAUCCCCGGGCUCAACCUGGGAACUGCAUUUGUGACUGCAUGGCUAGAGUACGGUAGAGGGGGAUGGAAUUCCGCGUGUAGCAGUGAAAUGCGUAGAUAUGCGGAGGAACACCGAUGGCGAAGGCAAUCCCCUGGACCUGUACUGACGCUCAUGCACGAAAGCGUGGGGAGCAAACAGG